AAGCCAAUCUCUCUCUCUCAGAUCGGAGAAAAGAGCCAUGGCGGCUGCGUGGAACGGGAGUGAGUACUUCGACAUCGACGUUGAGACAGGUAGACAAUCGUUCACGCGGCCGUCGAACGCUGAGACUAUUGAGCAAGACGAAGAAUAUCUGAGAUGGGCCGCCGUAGGAAGGCUACCGUCGCAGAGACAAGGGAGUCAUCCGAGCGUUCGCUAAUCUUGAAUUGGCAGCAGAGUUUGAAGAGGUUGGUAGAUUUCUUUGCAUCAUCUCACCCGGUUGGCCUCAGAAGAUUAAUUAAAUCCUUUUUGGUUAUAUACGAGUUAGUUUAUGUUACAUUAGCUUCAAAGAUCUGAUUUCUGAUUCCAUUUUUAUUAGAAAACGUUACAUAUGCAUCUUUGAAUUAGUAUUUUUGUAACAUUUUCCUCGGUCCAUUGUAUUUCAGUCAAAUGUUCCUCACUACAACUGAUUAGAGUUUGGAGAAUCAGUUGAAAGACAUGGUGAAGCGUGGAAAGAAUCUGAGAGUGAAGGAAGCUGAUUGAAGAUAUAGAUGAGUACGACGGUGACGACCCUCUCUUCCCAUGGAUAAAGUGUUUUAAAGGGGUGCAGGAGGCGUUUCCUCCGGGUUUCAUCGAUUGUCAUAAAAUUCCUGAAAUAGCUGUUGAGUGCCAGAACUUUCUCACGCACUGCUAUUUCAUGAUAACUGUUACAACAUUAAAGCAGGAGAUGCUGGAAUUUUUUUUUUGGUUUAUAUGAAGAUCUAAUUGUAUGUGGAUGAUAUUUGAAUGUGUGAAUAAAAUCUGUUUUCAAUUCGUUUUGUUGUGACAGAUGCAAAGAGACUGAUUGCUCGGAGAUUUAUUGACACCUCUGUCCAAAGUGACAUGAAGCUAUGGCCUUUCAAGAUCUUACCUGCUCCUGCUGAUAAACCAAUGAUCGUCGUCAACUACAGAGCCGAAUAGAAUUAGUUCGCCGCCGAGGAGAUAUCUUCCAUGGUUCUCAUCAAUAUACGUGAGCUCUAUUGAGAAUUACGAAUGCGGUGCGGAGCCACUUAUUCAGCUAUACAAGAUUCUACUGAAGGCACCUGGUGUAUAUGGAGCACGGUUCAGUGGUGCAGGCUUCAGGGGAUGUUGUGUAGCCUUUGUGGAUGCAGAGAAAGCUGAGGAAGCUACUUCAUAUGUGAAGGAUGAAUACGAAAAGGCCCAACCCGAGUUUGCGAAGAAACUGAGUGGAGGUAAACCUGUUCUCAUCUGUGAAGCAGGUGACUCUGCUCGCGUUCUCUGUUCAAACUCGAAGUUUUUUUCCCUCGAGUGCUCUGUUAUAGUUGUUGAUUCUUAUUUGUUCAUCCUUUCUUUUUAUUCUCUCUCUGUGAGAUUCUCUGGUCUGUUUAGUCAAGAGAUAGAAAUGGAGCAUGCAUUGAUACGUUUUUAUUGUUACCAACAAUUUGACAAUACGUAAUGUAAAUCAUUUAUAUUUCUGUUUUGUUUUGUGUUUCUUCAAGUUCUGGAAUUGAAAGAUCUUAUAGGCAUCUCUUCCUAUCUUCAUUUUCCCAUGUUACUACGAUAAGAGAAUACCAUGUCGUAAUUGGCUAUUAACAGUAAUGUCAUGUUACACCUUUUUUGGUUUAUUCAUAAGAUUAUGCAAACAAAAGAUGCUACUUGAAUGGUUGAAACAAAUUAUUAUUCUGUAAUACCCCAUUAUUCUUUGUAACAUAAAAUCUAAGGCAAGCCAUAAGUGCCACCUACUAUUGUUUUGUUUUAAACCGGAUCAGUAGAACAUUUUUACAAGUGGUACAACGAAACACCAUAAUCACAGGAGAAACUACUCCGACUGUUUUUUUUUUCUAAUAAUGUUAGUAUCAUAAAAUGAAUAAUGAACAAGUUGAUACGAUGGUUCCUAAAUAUCCAAUUUUUUUUUUUAACUUAGGAACAGGAUUAGCUUUAGAAAGUGUCUUGAGAAAAAAAGUGGCUUGAGCAACCAAUUCUAAAACAAAUAAAACAAGUUUACUAGGACAGCUAGAUAGAAUAGGUGGGUGAACGUCAAAUUAGCAAUAAACGACUAGAGGGAGGUUCACACAAAGCUCAGUAGGCGGAGGCGGUAUGUUUCAACUGCUCAAGUCUCCUAAAAUAUAGGCUUCUGUCCUAAUAGUAUGGUAAAUUAAAUGCAGUCUUUUAAUUGAUUUCCACAUCUCAUAUUCUGAAGUUGAUGCCUGUUAUGAUCUUACAUACUUCGAGUCUCUUUAAUAUAUUUAUUGGCUUUUGAUUACGGUCCUUAUUGUUGAUGAUCAUGGAUAUCUCCACGCUUGAGAAGAUUCUUCAGGUAAAAAAAACAAAGUCGCAGCAAACCCGUAGCUCUUAGUGACCCCGUUUCUAUUACGCGAGACAAAGGCAUGAUCACCGUUAACGUCACCACCGCUUCCAACUUCUCCACACGAGAGAAAGUACAAUCUCCUUUAUUGGCUUUGCGUGAUUGCGUUGAACAAAGACAUGGACCGGUACGACCUAAGAUACUUAAACAUGUACAAGCUAAAUAUUAAACCUAUAUAAUGAGUUUUCUUUCGUAGUUUUCUUCCAUGGCUCAGGAAUAGGUGCUUACUUCAACAGUGUUGUAGUUUGACAGCAGAAGCUUUCAGAGCUUUGAGGGCAGUAUUUGACGGCUCAACUAAAAGAUGAUGACGUUCCCUUUUGUGUUCGUGGCUGAAAAUUUUCUUGCUUUUGUAUAUUUGGUGUAUGCAUGUAACUUCAAAUGUCUAUGUACUCCAUUUUUGUGUAAGUGGUGCAUGGAUACACGUCUAUGUACGUGCUCCAUUUAGCUUAUAUAUCUACAUUGAUUCAAGUUUAUGAAG